UAACAGGCAGGCAAGUGGUGGCGCUAG
rnacentral:sRNA from 1 species